rnacentral:rRNA from 2 species
AGCAGCCGCGGUAAUUCCAGCUCCAAUAGCGUAUAUUAAAGUUGUUGCAGUUAAAAAGCUCGUAGUUGAAUUUCGGGAUUGGCGCAUCGGUCGUGCCUCACGGGGUAUGAACUGGUGCAGUCAAUUUCUCACCUUCUGGAGAACCGCGAUGUCCUUAAUUGGGUGCCGCGGGGAACCAGGACCUUUACUUUGAAAAAAUUAGAGUGUUUAAAGCAGGCAUUUUUGCUUGAAUACAUUAGCAUGGAAUAAUAAAAUAGGACGGCAUGGUUCUAUUUUGUUGGUUUCUAGGACCACCGUAAUGAUUAAUAGGGAUAGUUGGGGGCAUUAGUAUUCAAUUGUCAGAGGUGAAAUUCUUGGAUUUAUUGAAGACUAACUACUGCGAAAGCAUUUGCCAAGGAUGUUUUCAUUAAUCAAGAACGAAAGUUAGGGGAUCGAAGACGAUCAGAUACCGUCGUAGUCUUAACCAUAAACUAUGCCGACUAGGAAUCAGACGAUGUUAAUUUUUUAAUGACUCGUUUGGCACCUUACG